GUACACUCCUACGGGAGGCAGCAGUGGGGAAUUUUGGACAAUGGGCGAAAGCCUGAUCCAGCAAUGCCGCGUGAGUGAAGAAGGCCUUCGGGUUGUAAAGCUCUUUUGUCAGGGAAGAAACGGUGAGAGCUAAUAUCUUUUGCUAAUGACGGUACCUGAAGAAUAAGCACCGGCUAACUACGUGCCAGCAGCCGCGGUAAUACGUAGGGUGCAAGCGUUAAUCGGAAUUACUGGGCGUAAAGCGUGCGCAGGCGGUUUUGUAAGUCUGAUGUGAAAUCCCCGGGCUCAACCUGGGAAUUGCAUUGGAGACUGCAAGGCUAGAAUCUGGCAGAGGGGGGUAGAAUUCCACGUGUAGCAGUGAAAUGCGUAGAUAUGUGGAGGAACACCGAUGGCGAAGGCAGCCCCCUGGGUCAAGAUUGACGCUCAUGCACGAAAGCGUGGGGAGCAAACAGGAUUAGAAACCCUAGUAGUCCCAUGA
rnacentral:rRNA from 1 species